GGUUGAUCCUGCCAGUGAAAUAUGCUUGUCUCAAAGAUUAAGCCAUGCAUGUCUAAGUAUAAACCACUUUAUACGGUGAAACUGCGAAUGGCUCAUUAAAUCAGUUAUAGUUUAUUUGAUAUUCUCUUACUACUUGGAUAACCGUGGUAACCUAGAGCUAAUACAUGCAUUAAGGCCUGACCCUUUGGGGGAGGGCUGUAUUUAUUAGAUUAAAAACCGAUGCCUUAGGGCCUUCUGGUGAUUCAUGAUAACUUUGCGGAUCGCAUAGCCUUGAGCUGGCGACGUUUCAUUC
rnacentral:rRNA from 1 species